AAUGACUUGUUUUGAAUAAUAAAACGGUCUGUAUGCGAACUUGCUAGGAUAACUUUACAGAACACCGGUCCGGCUGAGGUACUGUAGUGCUCGAGGGAGGAGCAGGAGCAAACCGAAACUCUUUUAAUCUGCCUUUAUUAAGUAACACUCACUCUUGUUUCGGUGAAGAAGAGAAAAGGCAGUGUCCAUCUCAGGAAAAUAAACCCGUUCGGCUGCUAGUUUUGUUUUCAGUCUCGGGUUUAUGGUUUCACGAGCGGCUUGAAUAGGCGGCGCGCGUGCACGCACAUGCAUGUGCGUGUGUGUGUGUAACUUGGCGACACCAAACUGAGGAGCUCCAGCCGAGCGGGUUGCAGGUGAGCCGGAGCCAAUCCCAGCUGACUUUGAGUGAGAUGUGGGAUCCACCCUGGAUAGAUUGCCAAUCUAUCGCAGGGCUAACACAGAGACGAACAAUCAUUCAUUCAUAUUCACUCCUAUAGGCCAUUUAGAGGUGCCAGUUGACCUAAUCCACGUCUUUGGACUGUGGGAGGAAACUGGAGCACCCAGAGGAAACUCACACAGGCACAGGAGAACAUGCAAACUCCACAUAGAAAGACCCCAGUUGGCUGCAAGGUUUGAACCCAGAACCUUCUUGCUGUGGUGAAAGUGUUUACCACUGCACCCCUGUGCCAUCCAUGUAAAAUGUUUAUGUACUGUAAUUAUGUAUUUUUCUAACAGUAAUUGUGAAUUAACUUUGAAAUAAAGUCCCUUUUUUUU